rnacentral:rRNA from 2 species
AUUGAUUGAUGGUGCUUGCACCUGAUUGAUUUUGGUCGCCAACGAGUGGCGGACGGGUGAGUAACACGUAGGUAACCUGCCCAGAAGCGGGGGACAACAUUUGGAAACAGAUGCUAAUACCGCAUAACAACGUUGUUCGCAUGAACAACGCUUAAAAGAUGGCUUCUCGCUAUCACUUCUGGAUGGACCUGCGGUGCAUUAGCUUGUUGGUGGGGUAACGGCCUACCAAGGCGAUGAUGCAUAGCCGAGUUGAGAGACUGAUCGGCCACAAUGGGACUGAGACACGGCCCAUACUCCUACGGGAGGCAGCAGUAGGGAAUCUUCCACAAUGGGCGCAAGCCUGAUGGAGCAACACCGCGUGAGUGAAGAAGGGUUUCGGCUCGUAAAGCUCUGUUGUUAAAGAAGAACACGUAUGAGAGUAACUGUUCAUACGUUGACGGUAUUUAACCAGAAAGUCACGGCUAACUACGUGCCAGCAGCCGCGGUAAUACGUAGGUGGCAAGCGUUAUCCGGAUUUAUUGGGCGUAAAGAGAGUGCAGGCGGUUUUCUAAGUCUGAUGUGAAAGCCUUCGGCUUAACCGGAGAAGUGCAUCGGAAACUGGAUAACUUGAGUGCAGAAGAGGGUAGUGGAACUCCAGGUGUAGCGGUGGAAUGCGUAGAUAUAUGGAAGAACACCAGUGGCGAAGGCGGCUACCUGGUCUGCAACUGACGCUGAGACUCGAAAGCAUGGGUAGCGAACAGGAUUAGAUACCCUGGUAGUCCAUGCCGUAAACGAUGAGUGCUAGG